rnacentral:lncRNA from 1 species
GAAGAUGACAUGAGAAUGUCGAAACAUGUCUUGUAAAUUUAAACUCAAAGUUGUUGUUUCUUUUUUGAAAGGUGAGGCUCUCAAAACCAAAGUGAUAAUUGUGGUAAUAUUACAUAAGGAGUAUCACGAACUCCCACAAUGACAUAUCAUCACGCACUCCUUAGUGUAGUUUAUUAGAGAGACUGGGUUCGAAAUAGCGAUUACAGAGUGGACUUACACACUAAAACAGCCAACAGCGUAAAAAAAAAAACCAAACAAACAGCCAAUAUUAUUUCGUUGCUGGCUAUGCCAUAUAGAGCAGAAGAAGCGGAGAGGAGUAAACGUUUUGGUCGUUUUUAGUAGAGGAAAAGAGGCUGCUCGGGUGAUUUGUUUCCGCCGUUCGCUGUUUUGUUGUUUACGAUCGACAGUCAUUUACUGCAAAAUGAAGGCACGAAGGCGAUUAUUUAGCCUGGUUCUCAGACGAUCUAAGGGCGCUCUUGUGAUUUUGACGGAUAUUUGAGCAAGUGGAUUCAGACUCUGAGAUUUAGGCUAAUAUCGACUCAUAAGUUACGAGACAUUCAUCAAUUCUGUGGGUUUCUUUAUAUUUAUAGCAACAAAAAUCUGGUUGUGCUGGGAAAUGCUUAUAGAAGCCAUGGAUCUUGCAGAGAUGUGCAUGAUACGUACAAAUCGUCAAGGCGACAACUCGCUGCAAUAAAGGCAAUUCGUGCUGGAUUGGCUAUGGACGCAUGCCAAACCAAAUGAAAGGUACAGUACAUCUUAUGUUGUCCUUUAGUUGAACCAACAAGUUUCUUCUCGUAGAUUGUCUAAAUCAUAAAUCAGACUAAAUUAAAUAAAACGUAAUUGUAACCAUCCCUUUAUAACGUGAUUCCUCAUGUUUGUUUCCUGGUGACCUUCAAAACAUCCCUUAUUAUCUUAGUGGACAAAGGGAAGCCUCGAUCGAGUACAAAUCGUUAAGGUAUGUUGUACUGCUCAUAAGGAAAUGAUGUUUGAAAAGAGAUACAUUUCAAUGAAUAGUUUAUCUUAAUAAUUUAUCAUUAAUGAUUUGUGACAAUCUACUGGCACUAUGGGGUGGGGAUUGCAGUGAUCAUGAAAAAAAAAAUUCCUUCAAAUCCAAUUUGUCUUUACAGGUAAAACUAAAUUUCUUAAUGGUUUGACACACUCAUGAAGCUGUUGACCAGAUGUUUAACGAGUAGGAAUCAGAGUUUCAUUUUCAUUGAAUUAAGUUAAGAGGAAAACUCUCUUUGAGAAUAGUUACAUUGCAGAACCAUCUUAAUAAUGCUGCCGAAUACUUAGUCAAAGUUUAACUGCUGGGAUGAUACUAUUGCCAGCUUCAAAAUUCUAAUUUUACACAUAUGUUGUUGUUAAUUGAUAGUGAUAUUAAAUUGUGUCUUACGGGCUUUCUGAAUUUCUGGUAAAGAAGGACACAAGAACCUUUAAAGAGCUUAUGACCUCCUUUGAGAGUUGUUACACCCCAACUCCAAAGGCUGUAAAGGUUGAGCAUGUUUUUGCUCUGAAGGAGUGGAUGUCACCCUUUUCAACUGCACUCCACAACAUCUCAAAUCCUCAUGCUUUUAAAUUUACAAAAGCUCCUUUGGGAAAAGUCGUUAUGCACUUACAAGAACUGGGGGAGUGACAAAGAGGAAAACUGGAAACCGGUAAACCCUGAUCCAGAACAGUGGUUAACUGUAAUGAAAGCUGAUGCAGAAAUAAAUGUAGAUGUCCCCCCAGAUUAUGUUGCUCCAGAUACAGAGAAGCUUGAGCUUCAAUGGCUCAGAUCAGAAAUUGAAAAGUAUUUCAAAGGAUUGUUUCUGGAACAACAUAAAGAAGAUUUGGCAUCACUACUUGACCCUGAACAUACCAGAUGGCAUCCACCAAAAAGGACAGUUACUUAGCCAUUGAAAGAAAUCAUUACAAACAAGGAAAGAGUUAAAGAAAGACAAAAACAAUUGGAGGCUGCUGGGAAUAGUGUGGGUUUUCUGGGGCAACUGAAAAACCUGAUGGUGUCCCUGAGGAUGUGGAUGAUGUGGUCAGAACUCAAGUUGCUCCUGUGCCAGAGAUGUACAGUGGAGCUUAUAGGAGGCAGACGGCUCAGCCCGUGGUCACCGAGGUAGAUAACUUGAAGGAGUUCUGCCAGGUAGUAUUGU